rnacentral:rRNA from 1 species
GGGCUCACACAAGCGGUGGAGGAUGUGGCUUAAUUCGAGGCUACGCGAAGAACCUUACCUAGACUUAACAUGUUUGAGAAUCUCUGUGAAAGCAGAGAGUGCCUUUCGGGGAACUCUUACGUAGGUGCUGCAUGGCUGUCGUCAGCUCGUGUCGUGAGAUGUCGGGUUAAGUCCCUUAACGAGCGAAACCCUUAUCUUCAGUUGCCAGCGAGUAAUGUCGGGGACUCUGGAGAGACUGCCGGUGUUAAACCGGAGGAAGGUGGGGAUGACGUCAAGUCCUCAUGGCCUUUAUGUCUAGGGCUGCACACGUCCUACAAUGCAACGUACAAAGCGACGCGAAAUCGCGAGAUCAAGCAAA